AGCGGUUGCUUGCGGUGGUUAUGAUUGUGACUUCGGAUGUGAAAACGAAUGUGGCCGUGAAGCGUAUAAAGGAAUAUUGCGAAACCGAACAGGAAGCUGCCAGGGAAGUAGCUUAUAGUACAUUGCCUCGAGCCUCGAGGUUGACCGGAGCACGUUCGUGUGGAGUAACAAGACUUCUAGAUCCGUUACCAAGAAGGGUUUGAUAUUGUACGUAAAGGCAUUUCUUCCACUGUUGAUGGUCAGGACGUAGGAAUUGUUAGUCGUGCCGGCGCAGGUCCAUUUAACCCUGUGUGCAGUGGAAAGAUUAUCAUCGAUGGACAGAACAUUUCGCAACUUGAAUUGCACGCUCUGCGAUCGCGAUUAACCAUCAUUCCCCAGGAAUCGGUUCUGUUCUCCGGUACGCUGCGUAUCAAUUUGGACCCGUUCAAUGUGCAUUCGGAUGACGAUAUCUGGAACGCCCUUGAACACGCUCACUUGAACGAGUUUGUGAAAGGACUGGCUGCCGGUAUCAAUCACAAGGUCACGGAGGGUGGUUAAAAUCUAUCGGUGGAACAACAACGCACAGCAUCUAUAUUACUUACAAAUUAUGCUGAUUCCAUUAUGCACUACCAGAGUAUAAGAAAUACAUGUGAUAAUUUAGUGGCAGUUAGUGCUGCGUUCAUAGCAGUAACACUGUGCAGGAAAAUCUUCACUGAUCAGUUCUGGCCAGGGAUUCGCGUAUUCCAAUAAUGCGGAAAUAAGAACAUCGAAGAGAGCGACGAACCAUAUGACCUUGCAGCCACCGUUGGAUAAGAGUCGCCGGAUUCA